AAGGAUUUAAGUUAAAUAAAACUAGUAGCCUUCAAAGCUUCAAACAAAGAAAUCUUUAAGCCUUA
rnacentral:tRNA from 1 species